CCUACGGGUGGCAGCAGUGAGGAAUAUUGGUCAAUGGGCGCGAGCCUGAACCAGCCAAGUCGCGUGAGGGAAGACGGUCCUAUGGAUUGUAAACCUCUUUUGUCGGGGAGCAAAAGACGCCACGCGUGGCGUUCCGAGAGUACCCGGCGAAAAAGCAUCGGCUAACUCCGUGCCAGCAGCCGCGGUAAUACGGAGGAUGCGAGCGUUAUCCGGAUUUAUUGGGUUAAAGGGGUGCGCAGGCGGAAGAUCAAGCCAGCGGUAAAAUUGAGAGGCUCAACCUCUUCGAGCCGUUGAAACUGGUUGUCUUGAGUGAGCGAGAAGUAUGCGGAAUGCGUGGUGUAGCGGUGAAAUGCAUAGAUAUCACGCAGAACUCCGAUUGCGAAGGCAGCAUACCGGCGCUCAACUGACGCUCAUGCACGAAAGUGUGGGUAUCGAACAGGAUUAGAUACCCCAGUAGUC
rnacentral:rRNA from 1 species